CCUACGGGCGGCAGCAGUGAGGAAUAUUGGUCAAUGGGCGAGAGCCUGAACCAGCCAAGUCGCGUGAAGGAUGACGGCCCUACGGGUUGUAAACUUCUUUUGUCAGGGAGCAAUUGGGUCCACGCGUGGGCUUAGCGAGAGUACCUGAAGAAAAAGCAUCGGCUAACUCCGUGCCAGCAGCCGCGGUAAUACGUAGGGAGCAAGCGUUGUCCGGAUUUACUGGGUGUAAAGGGUGCGUAGGCGGCUUUGCAAGUCAGAAGUGAAAUCCAUGGGCUUAACCCAUGAACUGCUUUUGAAACUGCAGAGCUUGAGUGGAGUAGAGGUAGGCGGAAUUCCCGGUGUAGCGGUGAAAUGCGUAGAGAUCGGGAGGAACACCAGUGGCGAAGGCGGCCUACUGGGCUCUAACUGACGCUGAGGCACGAAAGCGUGGGUAGCAAACAGGAUUAGAUACCCGGGUAGUC
rnacentral:rRNA from 1 species